CAAAGAGGACGAAAGAAAAUUGUCUUAGAUUAUGGAUAAAAACGACAUUUCUACUUAUAUCCAAAAUGAACAUACUACACCAUUUACUGAUCAAACCUUUAAGAUAACAACCAAAUCUGACUGUGAACGCAGCAGUGAACACAACACCCUGUUACCAAACUCCAUACAAUUAUCGGAAGAAUCCCACAGAGUACUCAUAUCGUGUGAUGAAAUUGUCCCCAGUGGAACGAAUACAAAACCUUUUACUAACACAAACUCUCACAUCAAUUCAACUAGUUCAGAGGUACACAGAAUUGUUGAUACAUCCCAAAACGCGUCUGCUAUACAGCCAGAAAAGAUAAGUUUGAUCGACAAUUCUGAAAAGGAGACAGACAAAAAUGUACAAUCUUCGAUGAAACACAAAAUAUCAAAACAAUUUAAAAAAAUUUCUCCUCAUAUUUUACAACUAGUUAUUAUUGGACUAGUAUGUUACUUCAUAUGCAACAAAAAUUGUGCAAGUCAUGUGUCAAAACAGGAAUCGACGUUUGUCAAUCUAAAUGUCAACUUUGAUUUAUAUAGUGUUGAAACUACAUCUGGGAAAAUUCCAUGGAGACCCAUCGACGCAACUUUCGUUGUAUUAGAAGGGAAUGGCACAACGAUUUGCGUGCUUCAACCUGCAUCGUAUUCAAUCGAUGUAACGUUUAAUUUGGAUAACAGACGAAAUAAAUAUCCAGUCACUCUAUCUGUGUGUAUUUUGAACAGCAGAGACAGGAAGGGAAACCGGUAUAUCCCUGAAGUUCUUCCAGCACACAUGCAGAGGUCUGUGACGGCUAAUGUUAAUCUAAACUUGCAGAAAGGCGAUACAAUCUAGGUCAAUGUUAAAGGAUUAAAUCUUGUCGAUCAACGUCUUGAUGUUAACAGCAUGUCGAUAAGAAAAUAUGACACA